rnacentral:rRNA from 1 species
GACGAACGCUGGCGGCGUGCUUAACACAUGCAAGUCGAACGGAAAGGCCCUGCUUUUGUGGGGUGCUCGAGUGGCGAACGGGUGAGUAACACGUGAGUAACCUGCCCUUGACUUUGGGAUAACUUCAGGAAACUGGGGCUAAUACCGGAUAGCAGCUCCUGCUGCAUGGUAGGGGUUGGAAAGUCUCGGCGGUUGGGGAUGGACUCGCGGCUUAUCAGCUUGUUGGUGGGGUAGUGGCUUACCAAGGGUUUGACGGGUAGCCGGCCUGAGAGGGUGGACGGGGACAUUGGGACUGAGAUACGGACCAGACUCCUACGUGGGGCAGCGGGGGGGAAUAUUGCACAAUGGGCGGGAGCCUGAUGAAGCAGCGCCGCGUGUGGAAUGACGGCCUUCGGGUUGUAAACCGCUUUCGCCUGAGACGAAGCGGGAGUGACGGUAAUGGGUAAAGAAGCACCGGCUAACUACGUG